GCGGGAGAUUUACAAGAAAAUAUUUACUAAUUUCAAUCAGUUAGCAACUGAGUGAGCAACAAGUUACGACAAUUGAAGAAAAUGAAGUACUGUUUCGAAAAUUACCUGCUUUUUUUCUGCACUCUGAUUGUUUUAGAGCAAAUCGUUAUUUCCAAUGGCCUUUCUGUGGAAUCUACACAUACCUUGAAAACUAGAAGGCAAGCCGAUAAGCAGAAUGGGGAAUGUAAACGACCAAAUCAACCUGUAAAUGGAAAUUAUAUCAAUUUACUGAACACAACAACUGACUCAGAUACUUUUC